CCUACGGGGGGCAGCAGUGGGGAAUAUUGGACAAUGGGGGCAACCCUGAUCCAGCCAUGCCGCGUGUGUGAAGAAGGCCCUCGGGUUGUAAAGCACUUUCAGUGAGGAAGAACGCCUGGUGGUUAAUACCCAUCAGGAAAGACAUCACUCACAGAAGAAGCACCGGCUAACUCCGUGCCAGCAGCCGCGGUAAUACGGAGGGUGCGAGCGUUAAUCGGAAUUACUGGGCGUAAAGCGCGCGUAGGUGGCUUGAUAAGCCGGUUGUGAAAGCCCCGGGCUCAACCUGGGAACGGCAUCCGGACUGGCAAGCUAGAGUGCAGGAGAGGAAGGUAGAAUUCCCGGUGUAGCGGUGAAAUGCGUAGAGAUCGGGAGGAAUACCAGUGGCGAAGGCGGCCUUCUGGACUGACACUGACACUGAGGUGCGAAAGCGUGGGUAGCAAACAGGAUUAGAUACCCUGGUAGUC
rnacentral:rRNA from 1 species